UCUUAGCAGGCAAGUCUCAGUGUUACAUUGCGGCUUCAGGGCGUCGGCGACUAACUGGGGGGCUUUUCAGCCGUAGCUUUCCUAGGGUUUGUGAAGGUGAUUGAUGUUCCAAAAGUUUCUUUGGGAUGAGUCGUGUUUCUCUUGGUUUGCACACUCAUAUGGGUGGAGGUUGUCUUCCAAGGCUUCCUCCUGCCAACGCUUAGCCGGUACUUGCCUGUAUGGGGCUCCAUCAUUUAAAAUGCCAUAGCCUUUGCUCUAGCACAUUAGUCGUCAGCGAAUGCUUCCUCUUACGUUUCUGGGAAUUGUGAUGGGCAUAAUCUUUAUCAGGUCACGAAACUUGCUGGCCUCAAUGCCCUUGCAUGGUCGGUAUAACGGUUUUGUAUUCCUACAUCUUGUAAGUUGAGCUAGGUAUGGCGUUCUAAAUUAAGAGAGCUUACUCAAGUUAAAUGAUUUGAUAGUUGUGUUUUCCUUCAUUUUUUCUCAAUGUGCAUAUGUGAGAGUCAUAUCUUCAACUCUCCUCGUUUAACUUGUUUCAUUAAUACUGUAUUAAUGCAUAAAAUGUUGUCAUGAAAUGUCGUUACAAUACAUUUUCUCCGUCCAUUGAAAAUAAGACUAGUUGAAAUAAAGUAAUUGUUAUAUCUCA